rnacentral:tRNA from 1 species
GCUGUUGUGGUGUAGUGGCCAGCACGCUCGACGCGUAACCGAGAGGUCCGUAGUUCAAUUCCUGGCGAGGGCA